CCUACGGGAGGCAGCAGUGGGGAAUAUUGGACAAUGGGCGAAAGCCUGAUCCAGCAAUUCCGCGUGUGUGAAGAAGGCCUUCGGGUUGUAAAGCACUUUAGUGGGGGAAGAAACAGCUUGGCCACACCAAGCCUUGACGGUACCCCAAGAAUAAGCACCGGCUAACUCUGUGCCAGCAGCCGCGGUAAUACAGAGGGUGCAAGCGUUAAUCGGAUUUACUGGGCGUAAAGGGUGCGUAGGUGGCUAUUUAAGUCGGAUGUGAAAGCCCGGGGCUCAACCUCGGAAUUGCAUUCGAUACUGAGUGGCUAGAGUUCGGUAGAGGGCGGCGGAAUUUCCGGUGUAGCGGUGAAAUGCGUAGAUAUCGGAAGGAACAUCAAUGGCGAAGGCAGCCGCCUGGGCCUGGACUGACACUGAGGCACGAAAGCGUGGGUAGCAAACAGGAUUAGAUACCCUGGUAGUCCACGCCGUAAACGAUGAGAACUUGACGUUGGUUCGUUUUACGAAUCGGUGUCGCNGCUACGCGAUAGUUACUCCGUCCGUGGGAGGUACGGCCGCGAGGUAGUAACGACAANAGAGUAGACGCGNGAGACGUGCCGACGGACGACGACGAGGGAGGAGG
rnacentral:rRNA from 1 species